AAGCAUCGCUUAUACUGCCUGUCAACAUUGUAGCUAUAAUUUGUAACUGAAUUCUAGAAAGUGCUUUUGCUUUAUCAUUGUUGCUAUUGGUGGAUUAAUAAGCAUUGCGAUAUUUAAGACGAUGAUGCGUUACCUGAUGUGCAUGUUAGUCGUGGCGUUGCUGCCGAGUUAAGCGGCCGACGGGAAUGCAGCCGGACUAUGUGGGAGGCGACGUUGUCCACCUGGUUUCCGGUGUGUUCGCUAUGGCAGCGUAAACAGGUGUCAAGGGACACAAGAAGCGUCAUGAAUUGCGUAACCAGUUUAAUGAAAACCAUAGUUCGGACAGCUGGUUUGGAAAUACAUGUUACUGAACGAACAAAAAUAGGUUGAUGUGUUAUAUAAACGAUAAGACACGGCAGAGGGUUAAGCCGGAUGAUUAUGGUCGGCCUAAGCAAAAGGCCCUCGAGCUGUUAGAUAGGCAGCGGGACGAUAAUAGAAGACCUGUCCAGCUGUAAUCAUUGUGAUGUUUUAUGACAUAACGUAUUUUGGUCAUGUAUUGAAUUGGUUUAUGGUUUAUUCAAUAUAUACAAUAGACAUACAGUCCAGGAGUGUACAUGAUCAAAACAAAGUAACAUUUAUAAAGGCAUGACAUGUGAUCAGUAUUUAAUUUCAUAAGUUGCUAAAUAGAGUAUCAAUACAUCAAAAGGUCUAGGACAAUUGUUUUUUUUUAAUUACAACAUUUAUAAUCUAUUUAACAAUAAAUGCUAUAACUAUAACGACAACGUCAAAAACAACAAAGACGAAUCUACAAGAGAG